rnacentral:rRNA from 1 species
UACGAAGGGGGCUAGCGUUGCUCGGAAUCACUGGGCGUAAAGCGCACGUAGGCGGAUCUUUAAGUCAGGGGUGAAAUCCUGGAGCUCAACUCCAGAACUGCCUUUGAUACUGAGGGUCUCGAGUCCGGGAGAGGUGAGUGGAACUGCGAGUGUAGAGGUGAAAUUCGUAGAUAUUCGCAAGAACACCAGUGGCGAAGGCGGCUCACUGGCCCGGUACUGACGCUGAGGAGCGAAAGCGUGGGGAGCGAACAGG